CAUCGCCCGGGAACUACGAGCCAAGCUUAAAACCCAAAGGACUUGACGGUACCCCAUAUCCACCUAGAGGAGCCUGUCCUAUAAUCGAUAACCCCCGCUUAACCUCACCAUUUUUAGCUAUAUCAGCCUGUAUACCUCCGUCGUCAGCUUACCUCGUGAGCGAAGUCUAGUGAGCUUAAUGUCCUUACAUCAAUACGUCAGGUCAAGGUGCAGUAAAUGAAAUGGGAAGACAUGGGCUACACUCUCUAAUUUAGAAUACACGGAAGACUAUAUAUGAAAUCCUAGUCAAAAGGCGGAUUUAGUAGUAAAAAGAAACCAUAGUGUCCUUUUUAACCCGGCACUGGGGUGUGUACAC
rnacentral:rRNA from 1 species